rnacentral:rRNA from 1 species
GACGAACGCUGGCGGCGUGCUUAACACAUGCAAGUCGAACGGAAAGGCCCUGCUUUUGUGGGGGGCUCGAGUGGCGAACGGGUGAGUAACACGUGAGUAACCUGCCCUUGACUUUGGGAUAACUUCAGGAAACUGGGGCUAAUACCGGAUAGGAGCUCCUGCUGCAUGGUGGGGGUUGGAAAGUUUCGGCGGUUGGGGAUGGACUCGCGGCUUAUCAGCUUGUUGGUGGGGUAGUGGCUUACCAAGGCUUUGACGGGUAGCCGGCCUGAGAGGGUGACCGGCGACAUUGGGACUGAGAUACGGCCCAGAGUACUAGGGGAGGCAGCAGUGGGGAAUAUUGCACAAUGGGCGGAAGCCUGAUGCAGCAACGCCGCGUGCGGGAUGACGGCCUUCGGGUUGUAAACCGCUUUCGCCUGUGACGAAGCGUGAGUGACGGUAAUGGGUAAAGAAGCACCGGCUAACUACGUG